rnacentral:rRNA from 1 species
AUGGCGUCGUCGUUGGCAACGGCACCGGCUGCUGUACGCGAUAUGCAGUGCGACCUCGAGUCCCAGGCCAACGCCCUCAGCAAGAUCCAGAAAGACAUCUCCAAGAAUCACGAGGUCCGCAAGCAGUUCACCAUCCAGGUCGGCGAGAAUGAACUCGUCCUCAAGGAGCUGGAGCUGCUGAAUGAAGGGGCGAACGUGUACAAGCUGAUCGGGCCAGUGUUGGUCAAGCAGGACAAUGCGGAGGCGAAGGCCAACAUCAAAAAGCGCAUCGAGUACAUCACAGCUGAGCUAAUGAGAAUGGAUCGGGCGCUUAAGGACUUGGAGGAGAAACAGAAUAGCAAGAAGGAAUCGUUAUGGUUUCCUUGA